UUAUUUCAAAACGACCUCAAAAACAUGACAGAAGUACAUAAUCACCAAAUGAACUGUAGUCAUUUUAACUACUAUUUGAGUUGAAUUGGCAUUAUUGUAUUAUUACGAUGGAUGUCAACCUGUUGUACUGGAAAAGCCACGGACAGCCUUUGUUUAGUCGUCUGAAGAUCUGGGUGAAUCUUCUGGAUCCAUCCUCCUUGGGCGCAUCAGAGAUGAGCAUGCUCCAUCGUGAGCAGGACAGUACUGUAUCUGCAGUGAUUGAUUGGUAUUGAAUCAAUGAUCCUGCUCCCAUCAGGCUGAAAUACAAAAAGCCCGCACCCUUCUUGGAAGUGGGGAGAAGGUCGACAAAAAGAUUAGCUAUGCUCACCACUUUUUUGCGCACUCACUGCAACAAGUGUAUUGUUCUGUUUGCCCUGCUUCUUCCUGUAGGAUGACUAUGAAUGGAACAUCACUCUUUCGUCUGUCCAUGCAGAUUCUGGUUCAGCACUUCCACUGGUUUUCCGCCCUCCAGUGAAUGCUUCCUGCUUCCAGAGGAGCUCCCACCAUGGCACCUUGACAUCCAUGUCCUCCCCAUUGCUGACUGGAAUAGGAUGGUGAUUCUGGGAGCUGGCCAUCAUCGUGGGACUACGACUGCUGAUGCAUUCCUCCCCCGUUCUUUUAACCCUCUGUCCUUACUUCACCGCUGUCUACCUACCAUCUGUCCCUCUAAUCUAUCUCAACUCAAACGGUCGAGACAGAAGGGCCACCCCAUACAGCCUGGGUUCUGUCCAAGGUUGCUCAAAGAGUUUUUCUUUGCCUCCAUUGCCAAGUGCUUGCUCGUGUGGGGUUCAGUUGGUUCUCGUUAUAAAGCUUGUGAUUCUAUAUCACUUCCAUAUGACAAUUUGAAUUGGCACUAUAUAAAAUUUAAUUGGCACUUCUUCUUCUCUGGCUCUCAACGAAGUCUUGUCUUGUCUAGUCUCGUCUUAUACUUUCUCAAGAGCCUCUCACUGCACUGCCCUCCAAAAACCUAAAUCAUGGAAUUGAUCAACUGGUCCUCCAUGCAAUUGACACGAUCUUCUCGACGAGAAGCUCAGGUACGGGGGAACCUGCCUGCCCUGACGGAACGUACACCGCUGGGUACGUGAUGGACAGUUGGGGAAAGUGGAAGGUCAUGUGCCUGGCGAUUCUUUCCGUGGAGGACAUCAAAGACGUCUACCUAUUCGGGACCAUGAUAACAGGUCUGUUGCUGAUUGGAUUGGGCACUUUCCUAAUGUAUCGCAAAAUUCGUAUGAUGAAGGCAGCGGAUCGAGUUGGCCCACAGCUGCCAAUUAUGAAUGAUUUGGUGGGCAAAGCCAUUCACACUCUGACUGUGACUGGCAAUCACAACAAGGAUGCCAUCUUGGUGAAGAUUUCGGCUUUGCAAAAGCAGUUGGAUCAAUUAGGAGGCCAGAAUGGACAAUAGGGUGGUCCGGUCUAUUGGAAUGUGGCUGCCCGAACUAACCCAAACAAUAUUCUUAAUCUGGAUUUCGACGUCCCCACCACGGCUAACCAAGGUCGUGUUGUGAAAACAACUUCUUCCAAGAGAUUGCUGCAGCAGGACGCUCUGACCGUCCUUCAUUCCUUACGGACACCUGUUGUUUCUCUUCUCUUGCCCCAACACAGACUUCUCCAUGGCAACUGCUAUGUAUCGCAAUUACACCCUGCGAACUGAGCUCCAGGUGGGCGGGGGAAGCGCCCCCCCAUGACAGGGGCCACGGCCGUAAGUGGCUGCAGGUAAGCCGGGCUGGCCGCUGCUCGUAUCGGCUAUUUUCCCUUCGUGGCGCUGGUCUUGUGUCUAUGUGUGUGAACAAUGUCUUUUAUUUGUAUGCCAAGGUUUUUUAACACGCUGUACUCCUUCAUUUCAGAGUCUAGUUUGGAGUUGUUUUUUUCCCCUCCCCUUUCCUAGUGUUGUCCCCCCUUCUCCCCCCCUUCAUUGCUCAAUCAUCCCGUCCUGUCACCCCUUGUCUCACUGCAUAGUAUGUUGUAUAUGUAUGGACGGAAGAUUGCACAAUUUCACUUGUACUCCUGUACAAGUGACAAGAAUAAAGGGCCUACUACUACUACUACUACUACAUAAAAGAAAUUGGCUUGACUUGACAUAACUGCUUUUGUCAUUUCUGCAUGUUUAGUACAUAACUCAACAAGUGUUCGUUCAUAGCUUAGAGAAUCUACAACACAGUCUCUGCUGCUAUCCAGCAAAACACUCCACCCACGUUGACCCCGACUGGACCACACAGACAUGCUUCACAGACCAAGGACCCAACCAACAAUCCGAAUCCAGGCAAACAGCACAAACUGAUAAAUACAAUAAAAUGGGGUAAAUACAAACAUGAAUUCCACUUACAUUUUAGAUAUGGUAAAGUACUUAAAAUAGAAAUUAUACAAAAUGCAUGUAUCAAUUCUAUAUAUACCAAAGCUUUCUACCUGCUUCGACAUAUGUAAUAAGUAAACAACUACUCCUAACAGGAUUGGUUUUUACUAUACAUGUGAGGUACAUACUUCUAUUAUGUGUACACAUCAGCAAUUAUGACUAUAUACAUAUAAAGAUGAAAUUCCUUGUGAUGAAAAAAAGAUGAAAAAUUGCAUUCAUUCAUUCAUUUUCUACCGCUUUUCCUCACGAGGGUCG